rnacentral:tRNA from 1 species
GUUUUUAUAGUGUAAAUUAACACCUUACAUUUUCGUUGUAAAACUGAAGUAUUUUCUUCUAAAAACU